GACGGAAGGUGCAAGCGUUGCUCGGAAUCACUGGGCGUAAAGGGUGCGUAGGCGGCCGUGCAAGUCUGGCGUGAAAGCCCCGGGCUCAGCCCGGGAAGUGCGCUCGAAACUGCGCGGCUCGAGUGCCAGAGGGGAGAGUGGAAUUCCUGGUGUAGCGGUGAAAUGCGUAGAUAUCAGGAGGAAUACCGGUGGCGAAAGCGACUCUCUGGACGGCAACUGACGCUGAGGCACGAAAGCGUGGGGAGCAAACAGG
rnacentral:rRNA from 1 species